AAUGGGGGAAACCCUGAUGCAGCAACGCCGCGUGAGUGAUGACGGCCUUCGGGUUGUAAAGCUCUGUCUUUGGGGACGAUAAUGACGGUACCCAAGGAGGAAGCCACGGCUAACUACGUGCCAGCAGCCGCGGUAAUACGUAGGUGGCAAGCGUUGUCCGGAUUUACUGGGCGUAAAGGGAGCGUAGGCGGAUUUUUAAGUGGGAUGUGAAAUACCCGGGCUCAACCUGGGUGCUGCAUUCCAAACUGGAAAUCUAGAGUGCAGGAGGGGAAAGUGGAAUUCCUAGU
rnacentral:rRNA from 1 species